UGAACUUUCUUUCUUCUUUCCUCUUUUCCUUUCUUUUUUUUCUUAUUAUUUUUAUUUGGUAAGUCUUUAUCCCCAAGUCUCCAACAGGGGUAUUUUGGUCUUUGAUAUGUACCAGAGCCAACCCUAUUUUGUCACUAUAAAUACACUGUCCAAUCAUUGGGAAGAGGGUCCGAAAAUUCACUGUAGCUGCGUCAGAGUCAAAUUAGUCCAAUCAAUACAAACCCUAAUCCUUUCUCUCUCAUACCAAAUACAGAUCAAACAUAAAAAAAAUCACAAAAAUUAUGAACAAUCUCAAGAACACAUGAACCUUGACCCUUUCCAAAAAAUCAAUAUAAUCACCACAAACUCAUCAAACCGACUCAAAUCAUCACAUAAUCACCAUAAACUAACAGAAUCAACUCAACUCAUCACAAAAACACCAAAACCGAACCGGUUUUCAUCUACAUAAUCAAAACGUGAUUCUUCAUCACCAACACCAACAAUUUCGAGUCAAGCAAAGAAGAAGAGAAGGAAAAUGAAGUGAAGUAUUCCGGAUCUAGAAGAAAACGAAGCUUUCUUUCUCUUUCUACAACAUAUUUCUCCAUUUCAACUAGGGUAACUAUCUUCCCUUUCCUCUUUUCUCUUUCAUGUACAAAAAUUUUCGAAUCUUAAAAGCUAGAUCUACUCUUGUUUGUUGUUUCUUUUUGAAAACUAGGUUUAGAUUCGGACUCUACACAAAAAAGGAUAUCUAGAUCUGAAUUUUUUUUUAAAACAGAGGUGUUUGGAUUUUCCGGCGUGGUGGCGCCGCCCUGAUGGGCUGGCAGCCGCCGUGCCGGCUUUCAAGUAGCUCGUCGGAGAAGAAGGCUGCACUUGCAGACCUUCUCUCACUAAGUUUGUUUAGAGAGAGGGAGAAAGGAAGAAAUGAAGGAAAACCGGUUCAAAUUUC
rnacentral:lncRNA from 1 species